GUCUAUGGCCAUGCCACCUUGAACAAGCCCAAUUCUGUCUGAUCUCGAAAGCUAAGCAGGGUUGGGCCAACUUAGUACUUGGAUAGGAGACCAACUAGAAAGACCAGGUGCUGUAGGCG
rnacentral:rRNA from 1 species